rnacentral:rRNA from 4 species
UGACCUCGAUCAGGUAG